GCUUCUCCGAAAUUGGAGUUCCAGAAGCCAUCCUUGGAUAACAUCUCUAUAAUCUCCUGGGAGAAUCCUUCUUCGAAGAAAUCCUCCAUCAGAGGAGAGUUCUUGGUCUCAGUCACAUCUGAAAGAGCAAGUGCAAAUGUCUCCUGUUCACUAAGGGUAAGUGAGCAGAAGACUGAGGAUUUGAACCCCUCUGACUAUAUAUAUAUAUAUAUAUAUAUAUAUUUUUUUUUUUUUUUUUGGAGACUGAGUCUUGCCCUGUUGCCCAGGCUGAAGUGCUGCACGAUCUCAGCUCAACGCAACCUCUGCCUCCUGGGUUCAAGUGAUUCUCCUGCCUCAGCCUCCCGAGUAGCUGGGACUGCAGGUGCCCUCCACCACGCCCAGCUAAUUUUUGUAUUUUUAGUAGAGACAGAGUUUCAGCAUGUUGGCCAGGCUGGUCUCGAACUCCUGACCUCAAGUGACCGGCCUGCCUCGCCCUCCCAAAGUGCUGGGAUUACAGGUAUGAGCCACCACGCCUGGCCCCCAUAUUCUUAACUACCAAGCUGUAUGCUCUCUGGGAUCCUUCACAAAACAUGAAUGUCACUGCUCUGCUGUAUGCCUCCAGUCUCCCCAUCUCUCCUCUCCUCCAUCAUCAUACCUUUUCCAGCCUGUCCCUUGUGCAGUUCUUGGCUCACCAUCUGAGUAUCUAUGAGACUGCUUAAAGUCUCUCUGCCUGGAAUUAAAACUUGCAAAUGAAAGCCUUCUGAAACCACAUCUUGUUCUGAAUUGUCACCUUUGCCUCUGCUCAUCUCUCCCACAGAUAUCCAGCUCACUCUCCUCACCACACUUGUGCUCAUGUUGUUCCCUCGGCCUCAAAUGCACCAACAGACAUGUAAUAGGCACCCCUUAUAUGCCAAGCAUGAUGUCAGGAGCUGGGAAUACAGGGUGAAUCAGCUAAGCCCUGCUUCCAAGAGCGGCAUGCUGUUAAAGGGGAAAGACGCUUAUGUGCUCCCAGGACAAGGGGAUGGAAGCCAGCGAGAAGCAGAGUGAAGUCCUGAAGCUGAGCGUUGUAAUGUCUCGGUAGACCUGUGGGAAAGCUGGCUGCAGCCUCAGGAUGGAGGUCUGGAAGACAGAAGGACAUGGAGGACCAUCCAGACACUCAGUGAGAACCUCCUGGCUCUCCUGACUUUUCUAUGCUUUAUCCUGCACGUGGCUCCUGUGUGUGGACGAGGUGCUGCACUGGGCGACUCUGGGGAUGCCUGUCCUGUAGGGUUCCCAGUCCAGUGAUGGAGAGGGAGCCAAACAAUCACAAUCCAGGGUGAUCAAAGCUGUGACAGCUGGGGCUGGGGAUACAAAGGACUUGUGACAGCUCUUUAAUGGGCAGGAUCUGCCAGGUGGAGAGGCACGUACUUCCUUAGCCAUUCAUGAUUUAUUCACUGACCCAUGGGCCACACAUUGCCUGAGGCCUCCAUGGGCCAGGGACAGAAAAUGUCAGGGUCCCAGAGCCCAAGCAGUCCUGAGCCAUACCCUCCACAAGCUUCCCCAAGGAAGGGAACAGAGUCACCAUCCAGGAGGGAUACAGGCCACAGCGGAGAAAACGCCACUGCUGUCUUUGAAGACUGAGAAGCCAUGAGUCAAGCAAUACAGGUGACCUCCAGAAGCUGGCAACGGGCCAGGAAGGACUAUCUACGUGCUGGAGCCUCCAGAAGGAACAUGGUGGCCCUGCCAACACCUCGCCUCCAGCCCAGCCACAUGCAUUUGGAACUCCUGGCCUCCAGGACUGUAACAUAAUAAAAGUGUGCUGGUGGAAGCCACUGUGUUUGUGGUAUGUGUAACAGCAGCAAUAGGAAACGGAUACACUACUCAUACAUUCACACAAAUGGGUGAAGGGGCAGUCGAGGUAAACACACUUCUUACUGUGGGCUGUAGUUUAAAAAUUCAAAAAGACACUGAGGUAGGACCUCCCACGAGAUGCUUCUUAGCACACACUGGCCAGUCUGGAGAAAGUCUGCCCCAAUGUGAUGAGAUUCUAUCAAAUGAUAGUUUCCACCGUGUGUUAUCUUUUACUUCUUUCAUCUUUUGGAGUAAAUUAUUUUUCUGGUUCUUCAAAAAGAAAGAACUGAGGCAACAGAGAGGGAAAAUGAGUUAAUCAGGUGACACUGAUGGGGAGCUGGGGUGAUAUGGCCUUGGAGCUGCACAGACCUUAGCUGGAGUCUGGGCCCUGCUGCUGUCUCACUGUGUGACACUGGUGUGCAGAAGAGGGCGACACAGCAGGCUGGCUGCUCUCCUGGGAAAAGCCUGCUGGCAAGGCUGGAUUUCAGGGGGGUACCCCGUGUCUCCAGAACUGAAGAGACACGCUCCCUGGACCUAAACUGUGCAAACACGGUGGCUUACACCUGCUUUCCUUCUGGGGGGCUGGAAUUUUGGAAUGUGCCAGGCAGAGGAGCCCACAUGACCAGCCCCCAGUAAAAACCCUGGCACUGAGUCUCUGAUGAGCUUCCCUGGUGGACAGCAUUUCACACGCGAUAUCACAUUCUACAGUAUUGCUGGGGGAAUUAAGCAUGUCCCAUGUGACUCCCCUGAGAGAAUUCUGGAAGCUUGUGCCUGGCUUCCUUGGACUUUGCCCCAUGUACCUCCUCCCUUUGCUGACUGUGCUCUGAAUCUUUUCACUGUAGUAAGUCAUAGCCAUGAGUCUGACUACAGGAUGAGUCCUGGGAAUCCUAGCCAAUCACUGAAUCUGUGGGUGCUCCUGGGGACACUGACACAGCUGGGAAGGUGACUGCCACUCUUUUAACCUCAGUUUCAGACCAAUCGGCAAAAGAGGGACAACCCAGCUUCUUCAUGGGGUGACUGGAGGAUUGAACAAGCAAGUCCUAAGAGCUGCUACUCAAUCAUUCAUUAGUUUAGAGCUGUCUGCUGGGCCCUAGAGCAGGUACUGUUCGUUCCAAACACUGGGGACACGCCCUGUCCUCACACAGCUCCCGCUCUGAAUGAUACAAUGGUAGUUAGAACGUGAGGGAGCGACAGACAAGAUGAGUAGGAGAGGAGGUAUGGAGUUCUAACAGGGUCCCAGGUUAAACUUUAAAAAUGUAAGCCCUGAGAGCCGCUUAGGCAGAGGGGAGGGCAACUGGAAGACUUUGAAGUAUCAGCUUGAAGAAUGACUGACUACAAGUAGGAAAGUGGUGAAGACAAGGCUGGGGAGGCAGAUAGGGGCCAGAGCAGGGUUUCCCAGGCUUAGCACUACUGACACUGGCGUGGGCCAAUCCUUGGUUGUGGGGCUGUGCUGUGCACUGUAGGAUGUGUGGCAGCCUCCCUUGGUUCCACCAGCUAGAUGCUAGCGGCACGCUGCGCUGGCCCAAGGAGUAACAAUCAAAAAUGUCUCCACACAUUGCCAAUGUCUCCUCGGCCAGCUGAGAACUGCUGGGCUAGGUCAUGCUGAUUCUGAGGAGCCCAGGAGCCAGGACUUCACCCUGUGGGUGGUAGAGAGCAUGGGUGAUCACCAAGCAGGGCAGUGAGUAGGCCCCUGGGGACAGGCAACACUCACCCAGCAGGAAGAGGUCCUGGCAAUUGUCCAACGCUGUGUCCCAGAACGUGUCCCCCUGUUCCAGCCCGAGCUGCUCCCAGUCUCCCAAGGUGAAGUCCAUGCCGACAUCCUUGAGGGUCACAAAUUCCUGAAACACAGUACACUAUUGGUCACUCAGAGGCUGGGGUCAGGGAGGAGCCCAACAGCUCACUCAGGGCACUCCCAGCCCUCAAUCUGCCAGGGCUUUGGCAAAAACCAUCCCAUCCUCAGCCUCACAAGAAUCUUGAGAUGUAAGAGACUGGAAACCCCUGUAUUUUGUAGGCAAAGAAAAGGACCUUGACUUUGACCAGGGGACAGGAUGUCAACCGAAGUUAACACAGGUGGGACUGAACCCAGGUCUGCCUGAUCCUAAAAAUCUAUUUUACGCUUUUGCUUUAAGUGUUCAUUCAAGACUUAUUUUGUAAACUUUCAAACAUACAUACAAGUAGAGAUGUAUAUAAUUAACACCCAUGAACUCAUCACCCAGGGGUCAUCUGAUUUCACCUGUGAAUACUUCAGUAUGAACAGUAACUCCUUAAUCACUGAACACCUAGACCACAUUCAAAAUCUGUAUACAGAUUAGUCUGACAUCUCAGUGGUGUGUCUUUAUAGCUAGCUCGUCUCAAUCAGAAUCCAGGGGGCCCAUACCCUGUAACUGAUGUG
rnacentral:lncRNA from 10 species